UACAGAGGUCUCAAGCGUUGUUCGGAUUCAUUGGGCGUAAAGGGUGCGUAGGCGGCGCGGUAAGUCGGGUGUGAAAUCUCGGAGCUUAACUCCGAAACUGCAUUCGAUACUGAUCGACUCGAAGGCAGGAGAGGGUAGUGGAAUUCCCGGUGUAGUGGUGAAAUGCGUAGAUAUCGGGAGGAACACCAGUGGCGAAGGCGACUACCUGGCCUGUUCUUGACGCUGAGGCGCGAAAGCUAGGGGAGCAAACGGG
rnacentral:rRNA from 1 species